AGAGUUUGAUCAUGGCUCAGAGCGAACGCUGGCGGCAGGCCUAACACAUGCAAGUCGAGCGCCCCGCAAGGGGAGCGGCAGACGGGAGAGUAACACGUGGGAACGUGCCCUUCAGUUCGGAACAACCCAGGGAAACUUGGGCUAAUACCGGAUACGUCCGUAAGGAGAAAGAUUUAUCGCUGAAGGAUCGGCCCGCGUCUGAUUAGCUAGUUGGUGAGGUAACGGCUCACCAAGGCGACGAUCAGUAGCUGGUCUGAGAGGAUGAUCAGCCUCACUGGGACUGAGACACGGCCCAGACUCCUACGGGAGGCAGCAGUGGGGAAUAUUGGACAAUGGGCGCAAGCCUGAUCCAGCCAUGCCGCGUGGAUGAUGAAGGCCCUAGGGUUGUAAAGUCCUUUCGGCGGGGAAGAUAAUGACGGUACCCGCAGAAGAAGCCCCGGCUAACUUCGUGCCAGCAGCCGCGGUAAUACGAAGGGGGCUAGCGUUGCUCGGAAUCACUGGGCGUAAAGCGCACGUAGGCGGCUUUUUAAGUCAGGGGUGAAAUCCUGGAGCUCAACUCCAGAACUGCCCUUGAUACUGAGAAGCUUGAGUCCGGGAGAGGUGAGUGGAACUGCGAGUGUAGAGGUGAAAUUCGUAGAUAUUCGCAAGAACACCAGUGGCGAAGGCGGCUCACUGGCCCGGUACUGACGCUGAGAUGCGAAAGCGUGGGGAGCAAACAGGAUUAGAUACCCUGGUAGUCC
rnacentral:rRNA from 1 species